UACGUAGGGUGCGAGCGUUGUCCGGAAUUAUUGGGCGUAAAGAGCUUGUAGGCGGUUUGUCGCGUCUGCUGUGAAAUCUCAAGGCUCAACCUUGAGCUUGCAGUGGGUACGGGCAGACUAGAGUGCGGUAGGGGAGAUUGGAAUUCCUGGUGUAGCGGUGGAAUGCGCAGAUAUCAGGGGGGAACACCGAUGGCGAAGGCAGCUCGCUGGGACGUUACUGACGCUGAGACGCGAAAGCGUGGGGAGCAAACAGG
rnacentral:rRNA from 1 species